rnacentral:rRNA from 1 species
GUGCAGCAGUCGCGAAAACUCCGCAAUACGCGAAAGCGUGACGGGGUCAUCCCGAGUGCCGUCCGCUGAGGAUGGCUUUUCUCUAGUGUAGAUAGCUGGGGGAAUAAGGAGAGGGCAAGUCUGGUGUCAGCCGCCGCGGUAAUACCAGCUCUUCGAGUGGUAGGGAUGUUUAUUGGGCCUGAAGCAUCCGUAGCCGGCUGGACAAGUCCUCCGUUAAAUCCAGCGAUUCAAUCGUUGGAUUGCGAGGGAUACUGUUCGGCUUGGGUGUGAGAGAGGCCAACGGUAUUCCCGGGGUAGGGGUGAAAUCCUCUGAUCCCGGGAGGACCACCAGUGGCGAAGGCUGUUGGCUAGAACGCGCCCGACGGUGAGGGACGAAAGCCAGGGGCGCAAACGGGAUUAGAUACCCCGGUAGUCC